rnacentral:rRNA from 1 species
AGAAAAGCAGGGGAUCGUAAGACCUUGCGUUAAUGGAGCGGCCGAUAUCUGAUUAGCUAGUUGGUGGGGUAAAGGCCCACCAAGGCUUUGAUCAGUAGCUGGUCUGAGAGGACGACCAGCCACACUGGAACUGAGACACGGUCCAGACUCCUACGGGAGGCAGCAGUGGGGAAUUUUGGACAAUGGGCGCAAGCCUGAUCCAGCCAUUCCGCGUGAGUGAAGAAGGCCUUCGGGUUGUAAAGCUCUUUCGCAAGGGAAGAAAACUUAUCUAAUAACACUAGGUGAGGCUGACGGUACCUUGAUAAGAAGCACCGGCUAACUACGUGCCAGCAGCCGCGGUAAUACGUAGGGUGCGAGCGUUAAUCGGAAUUACUGGGCGUAAAGCGUGCGCAGGCGGUUCUGUAAGUCAGAUGUGAAAUCCCCGGGCUCAACCUGGGAACUGCGUUUGAAACUACAAAGCU